rnacentral:tRNA from 1 species
AGCACAGUGGCUCAGUGGUUAGUACUGUUGCCUCACAGCAAGAAGGUCCUGGGUUCGAAACCCAGCUGUCCCA